AUAUAUACAGCAGUAUAUAUACUAAAAUUGAGACGAGAGAAGAUUAGCAUGGCCGCAAAGAUGACACGUAAAAUCGUGAAGUAUUCCACAUUUUU
rnacentral:snRNA from 1 species